rnacentral:rRNA from 1 species
UACGAAGGGUGCAAGCGUUACUCGGAAUUACUGGGCGUAAAGCGUGCGUAGGCGGUUUGUUAAGUCCGUUGUGAAAGCCCUGGGCUCAACCUGGGAAUUGCAGUGGAUACUGGCGAGCUAGAGUGCGGUAGAGGAUGGUGGAAUUCCCGGUGUAGCGGUGAAAUGCGUAGAGAUCGGGAGGAACACCCGUGGCGAAGGCGACACGCUGGGCCGUACCUGACACUGAACCGCGACAGCAUGGGGAGCAAACAGG